UACAGAGGCCUCGAGCGUUGUUCGGAAUUACUGGGCGUAAAGGGAAUGUAGGUGGUCGGAUAAGUCAGAUGUGAAAGCCCUGGGCUCAACCUGGGAAGUGCAUUUGAUACUGUUCGGCUUGAGUGCGAGAGAGGAAAGCGGAAUUCCUGGUGUAGGGGUGAAAUCCGUAGAUAUCAGGAGGAAUACCGAUGGCGAAGGCAGCUUUCUGGCUCGUAACUGACACUGAGAUUCGAAAGCAUGGGUAGCAAACAGG
rnacentral:rRNA from 1 species